UACGGAGGGGGCUAGCGUUGUUCGGAAUUACUGGGCGUAAAGCGCGCGUAGGCGGACCUGCAAGUCGGGGGUGAAAGCCCGGGUCUUAACCUCGGAACUGCCUUCGAUACUGCGGGUCUCGAGUCCGGGAGAGGUGAGUGUAAUUCCUAGUGUAGAGGUGAAAUUCGUAGAUAUUAGGAAGAACACCAGUGGCGAAGGCGGCUCACUGGCCCGGUACUGACGCUGAGGCGCGAAAGCGUGGGGAACAAACAGG
rnacentral:rRNA from 1 species